UAUUAAGUUAAUUCACUCUCGAAUUAAUUUAAUUUAUGAAUUUAUAUGAUUAACUUAAUUAAGUGAAUAAUUUUCUAUUUUAAAUAUAUGUCAAAUUACAUUCAAUCAUCCACUCAAGCUCAGCAAGACAAUCUGAGAUUGUCUUACCGAAUAUUUCAAGCUGCCAAGACAAAACAGAUUGUCUGACCGAAGCUUUGCCUGCAAGACAAUUAAGUUUGUCUGACUGAAGCUUCCAUGACAAUUCUUAAUUGUUUGACCGAAUGAUACUCAGCAAGACAAUCGAGAUUGUCUGCCCGAAUAUGCAUUGCCAAGACAAUCCUGAUUGUCUAACCGAGGAAAUGCCUGCAAGACAAUUCCUGAGGCGUUCAAGACAAUCUUGGAUUGUCUGACCGAAUGCACCUGCCAAGACAAUUGGAUUGUCUGGCCGAAAGAACAAUCCUGCCAAGGCAAUUUAAUUGUCUUACCGAAGUUCUGGAUUGUCUUGCUAGCUAUAAUAAUUGUCUUACUGCUUUGUCUUGUGCUUGCAAGGCAAUCUGUAAUUGUCUUGCCCUUUCCACUUUGUCUUUGCUACUUACAAUUGUCUUGUCUUUCAAUUGUCUUACAAGUACAAAUGCUUUGCCUAUAAAUAUGGCUUUGCAUUCUUCAUUUUUAGUGUUCAUCACUUUGUAAUUCAAAGCAUUUGUAAAGCUUUCAAGUUGUUCGUAACUUGCUUGAUCGUUAUAUCCACAGUUUUCUGUGCUUUGAUAACCCGGUUGUUUUAAUCACUAAAAUCUA
rnacentral:lncRNA from 1 species